UACGUAGGUGGCAAGCGUUGUCCGGAUUUACUGGGCGUAAAGAGCGCGCAGGCGGUCGUUCAAGUCGCGUGUGAAAGCCCCCGGCUCAACUGGGGAGGGUCACGCGAUACUGAUCGACUCGAAGGCAGGAGAGGGAAGUGGAAUUCCCGGUGUAGUGGUGAAAUGCGUAGAUAUCGGGAGGAACACCUGUGGCGAAAGCGGCGCACUGGACCACAACUGACGCUGAGGCGCGAAAGCUAGGGGAGCAAACAGG
rnacentral:rRNA from 1 species